GAUGAAGAACGUAGCGAAAUGCGAUAAGUAAUGUGAAUUGCAGAAUUCAAUGAAUCAUCGAAUCUUUGAACGCACAUUGCGCCCGCCAGCAUUCUGGCGGGCAUGCCUGUUCGAGCGUCAUUUCAACCCUCGAGCCCCCCCGGGGGCCUCGGUGUUGGGGGACGGCACACCAGCCGCCCCCGAAAUGCAGUGGCGACCCCGCCGCAGCCUCCCCUGCGUAGUAGCACACACCUCGCACCGGAGCGCGGAGGCGGUCACGCCGUAAAACGCCCAACUUUCUUAGAGUUGACCUCGGAUCAGGUAGGAAUACCCGCUGAACUUAAGCAUAUCAAUAAGCGGAGGA
rnacentral:misc_RNA from 1 species